GUGGGGAAUCUUCCGCAAUGGACGAAAGUCUGACGGAGCAACGCCGCGUGAGUGAUGAAGGUCUUCGGAUUGUAAAGCUCUGUUAAUCGGGACGAAAGAGCCUAGUGUGAAUAAUGCUAGGAAGUGACGGUACCGGAAUAGAAAGCCACGGCUAACUACGUGCCAGCAGCCGCGGUAAUACGUAGGUGGCAAGCGUUGUCCGGAAUUAUUGGGCGUAAAGCGCGCGCAGGCGGAUCUGCCAGUCUGUCUUAAAAGUUCGGGGCUUAACCCCGUGAUGGGAUGGAAACUACAGAUCUAGAGUAUCGGAGAGGAAAGUGGAAUUCCUAGUGUAGCGGUGAAAUGCGUAGAUAUUAGGAAGAACACCAGUGGCGAAGGCGAUCUGCUGGACAGCAACUGACGCUGAGGCGCGAAAGCGUGGGGAGCAAACAGGAUUAGAUACCCGUGUAGUCC
rnacentral:rRNA from 1 species